rnacentral:lncRNA from 1 species
AAAACAAAACUCACUUUGCUUGCUUAAACUUUCAAAAGUAUUUUUUUAAAAAAGAGAGAGAUAGUAAGCUAUCUGUCUCUUUUAUUUUUAAAAAACAAAUUUAGUUGAAAAUGUAAAUCAAUUAGAAUUCAAUUUUAGAAUCUCGGAUAUCAAUCAACAAGCUUUUUGCCACUUGUAUUAAAAACAAAUAGUAACUUUC